rnacentral:rRNA from 1 species
GGACUGGAUCAACGGCUUGACGAUAAGAAAGCUGUCUCUCUUUACUAAACUCUGAAGUUAGCUGGAUAGUGAAGAGACUCUCUUAGCAAAGCGGGACGAGAAGACCCCGUUGAGCUUUAGUAAAAAUUGUUUAUUAAAAACUUGAUUACUUGAGUUGGGGCAACUAUCUUUCUUUUUUAAAACAAAGAUAAAAAUGUUUUGAGUUGAUUCUUUUAUGACCCUUAAUCUUGGGAAUAGUAGAAAAAGUUACCACGGGGAUAACAGCGUAAUUUUUUUUGAGAGUUCUUAUUGACAAAAAAGUUUGCGACCUCGAUGUUG